GGCCCAAUGAGGAAAACUACACAGUAUGUAGCUGAGGUCAGACUGUUAGCACCCUCGGUAAAUCCACUGUAAAUGAGUCACAACGUCGAGUCACAACGUCGACGCUUUGAAAACUGUUAUAUUAUGUUGUACAAAUACCAUAAUUAAAGAUUCAUUUGUACAAAAUUGCCCAUACAUUUUUUGCUUUUGGACCAGUAAACUAUACGUAGGUAUAAAAACGCAUGACUCGGAAGUAGUCUUAGGUACGUCUUGACUCUUAAGUUUGUACCAGACCAGGUACGCGGCAAAAGUUGUCGGAGUACCAGUCCAAUUAUCCCACCCUGGUCAUUUCUGUCUAUGUGUCUGUUUACUUCUACUGUCUGUGUAUUGUAUGUUUGUAUUUUGUGCACUUAGUCCACAUGUCUUUUUCUUCAUUCUCUUCUUCCUUCUCUUCUUUUAAUUUGUAUAUGUUGAAUAUGUUAGUUUGUAAAUUUGAAAUAGUUUUUGUACAGUCAGUUUUUGAAGUGUUGUAAUCUCAAU